AUUGAACGCUGGCGGCAGGCCUAACACAUGCAAGUCGAGCGAGCGGCGGACGGGUGAGUAAUGUCUGGGAAACUGCCUGAUGGAGGGGGAUAACUACUGGAAACGGUAGCUAAUACCGCAUACCAUAGAUUGUGCCCAGAUGGGAUGAGCUGGUGGGUGGGGUAACGGCUCACCUAGCCGACGAUCCCUAGCUGGUCUGAGAGGAUGACCAGCCACACUGGAACUGAGACACGGUCCAGACUCCUACGGGAGGCAGCAGUGGGGAAUAUUGCACAAUGGGCGAAAGCCUGAUGCAGCCAUGCCGCGUGUGGGAAGAAGGCCUUCGGGUUGUAAAGCACUUUCAGCGGGGAGGCGUUACCCGCAGAAGAAGCACCGGCUAACUCCGUGCCAGCAGCCGCGGUAAUAC
rnacentral:rRNA from 1 species